rnacentral:rRNA from 1 species
CCCGUCCCGCCGCCCCCGCCCGAGAGUUUGAUCCUGGCUCAGGAUGAACGCUAGCGGCAGGCCUAAUACAUGCAAGUCGAACGAGAUUGAGGAGCUUGCUCUUCAUGAAAGUGGCGCACGGGUGCGUAACGCGUAUGCAACCUACCUUAAUCAGGGGGAUAGCCUCUCGAGAAGAGAGAUUAACAUCCGCAUCAAAAUCCACUGAAGCUAGGCAUGACAGCAAAUGAUCAAAUAUUUAUAGGAUUAAGAUGGGCAUGCGUGAUCGAUUAAGUUUGUUGGUGAGGUAAACGGCUCACCAAGACUACGAUGUCUAGGGGAUCUGAGGAGGAUGACCAGCCCCACAGCUGGAUACUGAGACACGGUACCAGACUCCUACGGGAGGGCAGGCAGUAAGGAAUUAUUGGUCAAUGGGGCGCAACCCUGAACCAGCCAUGCCGCGUGCAGUGAAGACGGCCCUACGGGUUGUAAAGCUGCUUUUAUACGGGAAUAAACGCUGAGAGCUACUAUCGUGAAGAGAGCUGAAUGUACCUGUAAGAAUAAGGAUCGGCUAACUCCGUGCCAGCAGCCGCGGUAAUACGGAGGAUCCAAGCGUUAAUCUGGAUUUAUUGGGUUUAAAGGGUGCGUAGGCGGCCUAUUAAGUCAGAUGUGAAAUCCCCGGGCUCAACCAUGGGAAUUGCAUUGGAGACUGCAUAGGCUUAGAUUACUCUGGCAGAGGGGGGUAGAAUGUGCCACGUGUAGCAGUGAAAUGCGUAGAUUAUGUCGGAGGAACACCGAUUGGCGAAGGCAGCCUCCCUAAGGGUCAAGAUUGACCGCUCAUGCCCACGAAAGCGUGGGGGAGCAAACAGGGAAUUAGAUACCCUGGUAGUCCACGCCCUAAACGAUGUCUA